rnacentral:rRNA from 1 species
UCAGCCGCCGCGGUAAAACCAGCACCUCGAGUGGUCAGGAGGUUUAUUGGGCCUAAAGCAACCGUAGCCGGUUGUUUAAGUUUUCGGUUAAAUCUAUGCGCUUAACGUAUAGGCUGCCGAAAAUACUGGACAGCUAGGGAGUGGGAGAGGUACACGGUACUCAAUAGGAAGGGGUAAAAUCCUUUGAUCUGUUGAUGACCACCUGUGGCGAAGGCGGUGUACCAGAACACGUUCGACGGUGAGGGAUGAAAGCUGGGGGAGCAAACCGGAUUAGAUACCCGGGUAGUCCCAGCUGUAAACGAUGCAAACUCGGUGAUGCAUUGGCUUGUGGCCAAUGCAGUGCCGCAGGGAAGCCGUUAAGUUUGCCGCCUGGGAAGUACGUACGCAAGUAUGAAACUUAAAGGAAUUGGCGGGGGAGCACA